GAUGAACGCUGGCGGCGUGCCUAACACAUGCAAGUCGAGCGGACCAAUGCUCAUUUCAGCUUUGCUGAUUUGAGCAACGGUUAGCGGCGGACGGGUGAGUAACGCGUGGGCAACCUGCCCUGUGCAGGGGGAUAACACAGCGAAAGCUGUGCUAAUACCCCAUAAGACUACGCUAUCGCAUGAUAGAGUAGUCAAAGCUUUAGCGGCACAGGAUGGGCCCGCGUCUGAUUAGCUAGUUGGUGGGGUAACGGCCUACCAAGGCGACGAUCAGUAGCCGACCUGAGAGGGUGAUCGGCCACACUGGAACUGAGACACGGUCCAGACUCCUACGGGAGGCAGCAGUGGGGAAUAUUGCACAAUGGGGGAAACCCUGAUGCAGCAACGCCGCGUGAGCGAAGAAGGCCUUCGGGUCGUAAAGCUCUGUCCUAAGGGAAGAAGCAUGACGGUACCUUAGGAGGAAGCCCCGGCUAACUACGUGCCAGCAGCCGCGGUAAUACGUAGGGGGCGAGCGUUAUCCGGAAUCACUGGGCGUAAAGGGUGCGUAGGCGGCCGAGUAAGCCAGAGGUGAAAGGCUACGGCUUAACCGUAGUAAGCCUUUGGAACUACUUGGCUUGAGUGCAGGAGAGGAGAGUGGAAAUCCUAGUGUAGCGGUGAAAUGCGUAGAUAUUAGGAGGAACACCAGUGGCGAAGGCGACUCUCUGGACUGUAACUGACGCUGAGGCACGAAAGCGUGGGGAGCAAACAGGAUUAGAUACCCUGGUAGUCCACGCCGUAAACGAUGAGUGCUAGGUGUCGGGGGUUCACACCCUCGGUGCCGGAGUUAACGCAAUAAGCACUCCGCCUGGGGA
rnacentral:rRNA from 1 species